ACUUACAGCCCUGGGUGUCCCCUAAUCGUAAGGAUGAGAAUUCUGAUGAAAGAAAGACGGUAGAGUUAGACUGAAAUAGUCGGAAAAAGACAAUUAAACUCGGACAGCCUCACAGGAACUGGGAUAACUUUGUCUCGAAUACAAACAACUUUGACAUAAAUGAAAAAAAUUUUGUCAUGGCGGUCGUGGACAGCGGUACUAAAAAGAAAUAAAGAGACAAAUAUUUCCCCUAAGUACUCAGCCCCCACCUCGCCUCCUUUAUCAUCCGUUUCCCUGACCUUCCUUGGUAUGAAACCCAGUUACAAACUUCUACAGUAAACGGGUACAGUAAAUUUACGAAAAAGUAUGAACGCCAAUAAAGUGCGAUUUUUGU